AUACCAAAAUUUUAAUUUUAAAUAAUUUUGACAUAGCCUGUGGAUAAAGCAUCUCAGAUGGUUUUUUAUUCUUUUCUCUUAAUGAGAUUUUGAAUUAUACGCCCAUCUCACAUUU
rnacentral:snoRNA from 1 species